rnacentral:rRNA from 1 species
UACGUAGGGUGCAAGCGUUGUUCGGAAUUACUGGGCGUAAAGGGCGCGUAGGCGGCCCGCUAAGUCGAACGUGAAAUCCCCGAGCUCAACUCGGGAACUGCGUCCGAUACUGGUGGGCUUGAAUCCGGGAGAGGGAUGCGGAAUUCCAGGUGUAGCGGUGAAAUGCGUAGAUAUCUGGAGGAACACCGGUGGCGAAGGCGGCAUCCUGGACCGGCAUUGACGCUGAGGCGCGAAAGCUGGGGGAGCAAACGGG